rnacentral:rRNA from 1 species
UACGUAGGGUGCGAGCGUUGUCCGGAAUUAUUGGGCGUAAAGGGCUCGUAGGCGGUUUGUCGCGUCGGGAGUGAAAUCCACUGGCUUAACUGGUGGCUUGCUUUCGAUACGGGCAGACUGGAGGUAUGCAGGGGAGAACGGAAUUCCUGGUGUAGCGGUGAAAUGCGCAGGAUAUCAGGAGGAACACCGAUGGCGAAAGGCAGGUCUCUGGGCCACUACUGACGCUGAGAAGCGAAAGCAUGGGGAGCGAACAGG